UGCACUGCGUAACACCACUGCCACCAGUGAAAAGAGUUGGGAGACCCAUGCCCCUCCCUAGCCCUUCUUACCCUCAAAGACAUGAAAUGAAGAUCAACAGAAAAAAUAGCAUUAUUAUAGGAUACGUUACAGCACAUAAUGCUGCUACCCUUUUCAGGGUCUUCAAGGAGCAGUGUUCAAGAAUCAGCUGAGAGACAAACAGAUAAAGAAAGACAAGAUAAAGUGGAUAAUUCCCAGGCUAUGGUCUGAAGGCACAUGAGACCACCACCUUACUGAAGGAUCAAAGCAAUGGUGAUGGUCAGCGAUAAAGGGAAGAAACUGAUUAAGAGGCUCAUGGGGGGAUGUAAACAAAUACCUACUGUACCAAUCACUGGUUACUCUUUCAUACUAAAUUGACAAUAUUCGCUUGUCUGGAAUGCUAAAGGGGCCUGUCAUUGGUAGUUCUUUUUGGGUUAUGUGUGUGUGUGUGUGUGUUUAAAUGCCUGUGUUGCCUUUUCUUUGAGCUAAUGCAGCAUGAAUGGCUAAGAGAAAACCAAUUUGUUCUGUCAAAAUUCACUUAUUGUGCACAGUGGGUGUUCCUACACUUGGCAGAUUUAUCUCUUAUAUUAAAACUAAAAGCAAUGCCA